GAGAACUACGCAACACAUACCAAAUAGAGUCCUCUUCCUCCUAGCAGCACUUCUUAUAAUCGAUAUGCUUAUGGCCUCCCGUAUCUCUCUCUCCCGCUCAAUCCACCCAAUCCUAAAACGUUCUCCUUAUUCCCAUCUUGCCCCCAAACAAUUCCCCAAAUCUCAUCCCUGCCCUCUCUGGUCCUCUUCUUUCUCCUUCUGCCUCCAAUCUUUCCAUAAAUCCACUGCUCCCUCUUUCUUUCCUUCACUCUCUUCCUCUCCUUGCUAUGCUUCAUUCUCUUCACCUUCAGUAGCUACUCCUGAUGAUACUCUUCCC
rnacentral:misc_RNA from 1 species